rnacentral:misc_RNA from 1 species
GAUGAAGAACGCAGUGAAAUGCGAUAACUAGUGUGAAUUGCAGAAUUCCGUGAAUCAUCGAGUCUUUGAACGCACAUUGCGCCCCCUGGUAUUCCGGGGGGCAUGCCUGUUCGAGCGUCAUUACGCCCCUCAAGUCCCCUGUGGACUUGGUGUUGGGGAUCGGCGAGGCUGGUUUUCCAGCACAGCCGUCCCUUAAAUUAAUUGGCGGUCUCGCCGUGGCCCUCCUCUGCGCAGUAGUAAAACACUCGCAACAGGAGCCCGGCGCGGUCCACUGCCGUAAAACCCCCCAACUUUUUAUAGUUGACCUCGAAUCAGGUAGGACUACCCGCUGAACUUAAGCAUAUCAAUAAGCGGAGGA